rnacentral:lncRNA from 10 species
GCGCCUGCUGCUCCUCGCCGUCCGCGCUGCAGUGCGAAGGGCUCGAAGAUGGCCGGUUGGCAGAGCUACGUGGAUAACCUGAUGUGCGAUGGCUGCUGCCAGGAGGCCGCCAUUGUCGGCUACUGCGACGCCAAAUACGUCUGGGCAGCCACGGCCGGGGGCGUCUUUCAGAGCAUUACGAAAUAGAUAUGAUUGUAGGAAAAGACCGGGAAGGUUUCUUUACCAACGGUUUGACUCUUGGCGCGAAGAAAUGCUCAGUGAUCAGAGAUAGUCUAUACGUCGAUGGUGACUGCACAAUGGACAUCCGGACAAAGAGUCAAGGUGGGGAGCCAACAUACAAUGUGGCUGUCGGCAGAGCUGGUAGAGGUGAGUAAGGCAUUCUUUUGGUUAAAGUUGCAUGCCACAUUACAACUUAUUAAGCAGUUUCUUUUAACAUUUUGAAUAAAAGUUAGUCCAUAAUGGCUAUUAAGGUGGUUUUUGUGAACUGCCCAGCACUAUGGAGAAGCACUGCUUUAGUUUUACCUACUCUACAGCAUCUAUGACCUGGCCUCUUAGAUCCUGAUUUUGUUUCUACGAUAGAAUAUUCGUAUGAACUCACUUUCAGCU